CCUCCUUUGGUGUAGUCCGGCCAAUCAUUUCGGCCUUUCGAGCCGAGGACCUGGGUUCAAAUCCCGGAAGGAGGG
rnacentral:tRNA from 1 species